rnacentral:rRNA from 1 species
GACGAACGCUGGCGGCGUGCUUAACACAUGCAAGUCGAACGAAGUGGCGAACGGGUGAGUAACGCGUAAUCAACCUGCCCUUCAGAGGGGGACAACAGUUGGAAACGACUGCUAAUACCGCAUACUGAAGGAGGGGAUUGCGUCGGAUUAGCUAGUCGGAGGGGUAACGGCCCACCAAGGCGAUGAUCAGUAGCCGGUCUGGAAGGAUGAACGGCCACAUUGGGACUGAGACACGGCCCAGACUCCUACGGGAGGCAGCAGUGGGGAAACUUCCGCAAUGGACGAAAGGCUGACGAAGCAACGCCGCGUGAGGGAUGACGGCCGUCGGGUUGGAAAGCUCUGUUAAUCGGGACGCGGUACCGGAAUAGAAAGCCACGGCUAACUACGUGCCAGCAGCCGCGGUAAUUC